AGUCGAGGGGCAGCACGGGAGUAGCAAUACAACUGGUGGCGACCGGCGCACGGGUGAGUAACGCGUAUGCAACCUACCUAUCAGAGGGGAAUAACCCGGCGAAAGUCGGACUAAUACCGCAUAAAACAGGGGCACCGCAUGGUGAUAUUUGUUAAAGAAAUUCGCUGAUAGAUGGGCAUGCGUUCCAUUAGGUAGUUGGUGAGGUAACGGCUCACCAAGCCGACGAUGGAUAGGGGAACUGAGAGGUUGGUCCCCCACACUGGUACUGAGACACGGACCAGACUCCUACGGGAGGCAGCAGUGAGGAAUAUUGGUCAAUGGGCGGGAGCCUGAACCAGCCAAGUCGCGUGAAGGAAGAAGGAUCUAUGGUUCGUAAACUCCUUUUGCAGGGGAAUAAAGAGCAGGACGUGUCCUGUUUUGUAUGUACCCUGAGAAUAAGGAUCGGCUAACUCCGUGCCAGCAGCCGCGGUAAUACGGAGGAUCCGAGCGUUAUCCGGAUUUAUUGGGUUUAAAGGGUGCGUAGGUGGUUUGAUAAGUCAGCGGUGAAAGUUUGCAGCUUAACUGUAAAAAUGCCGUUGAAACUGUCGGACUUGAGUGUAAAUGAGGUAGGCGGAAUGCGUGGUGUAGCGGUGAAAUGCAUAGAUAUCACGCAGAACUCCGAUUGCGAAGGCAGCUUACUAAGCUACAACUGACACUGAAGCACGAAAGCGUGGGGAUCAAACAGGAUUAGAUACCCUGGUAGUCCACGCAGUAAACGAUGAUUACUAGCUGUUUGCGAUACACAGUAAGCGGCACAGCGAAAGCGUUAAGUAAUCCACCUGGGGAG
rnacentral:rRNA from 1 species